AAAGGAGCCCAAUACUUGGUUUUUUAGGGUUUCACCUAAAACCAGCCGUCAUUCACCUCUUUCUCUCUCAUCAGUCCCUCACUCUCUCUCCUCUCCUCUCUUCUCCUCCCCGUCAUUCACCUCACAUCCUCAGCAUCAUGGUAAAGGCACUUACGCUACUCGUCUUUCGAAGCUUCUCGAUGUUCCUCAUAUUUCUACUGGUGAUUUGGUUCGUGAUGAGCUCGUUUCCUCUGGUUCUCUCAAUCCUAAGGUGGAUUUGUCACACAUCUUGGUGCAGAGCUCAGAUUACUUGAAGUUUUUUACCACAAGAUUUACAAGAUUUUUCCAUCUAGUGAAAAGAUUGAAAAUAUAAAUGACCAGUACCGAACGUUGCGUGCAGAGGAGGUGAAUGGGUAUCUUGCUCAGUUGGUGCUAAUUUCACACCUCAUAUCAUUACAGUCAAUGCUGGUGAGGUCAUGAAAAUUGCGGACAGCGGAGCUGAUAUUGUUGGAAUAACAGUGCACGAAUGGCAAUUGAUAUGGAGGGGGAUAAAAUCAAGCACAACACCAUUUCAGAUUGCGCCAAGAAUGCCUACGAAAUUGAUGUGGUGGAGAGCUGCAUCUAGGCUACAGGCUUUGAGGAACUUUUCCUCUCACUUUAUGUAAUCAUAUUUAUGGAACUCAAGUAGAGCAUGCUUUUAUUUUAUAUUUUGUAAUUGUUGGGGUUUUCCUGUUGGAGCAGUUUCUAUAACUCCCUGAACUUGUUGAUUUGAUUAAUUAAGUGUUAUGAAUUCCCCUUUUCCUUUAAAAAAAAAAAA